rnacentral:rRNA from 1 species
GAUGAACGCUGGCUACAGGCUUAACACAUGCAAGUCGAGGGGAAACGGCAUUGAGUGCUUGCACUGAAUGGACGUCGACCGGCGCACGGGUGAGUAACGCGUAUCCAACCUUCCCGUUACUGCGGGAUAACCUGCCGAAAGGCAGACUAAUACCGCAUGUUCUUCGAUGACGGCAUCAGAUUCGAAGCAAAGAUCCGUCGGUAACGGAGGGGGAUGCGUCUGAUUAGCUAGUUGGCGGGGCGACGGCCCACCAAGGCGACGAUCAGUAGGGGUUCUGAGAGGAAGGUCCCCCACAUUGGAACUGAGACACGGUCCAAACUCCUACGGGAGGCAGCAGUGAGGAAUAUUGGUCAAUGGGCGGAAGCCUGAACCAGCCAAGUAGCGUGCAGGAUGACGGCCCUACGGGUUGUAAACUGCUUUAUGCGGGGAUAAAGUGAGGGACGCGUCCCUUUUUGCAGGUACCGCAUGAAUAAGGACCGGCUAAUUCCGUG